UCAUUUUUGUUCUUCUCUUCUCUCAAGAUUUCAUGGCAGGAUUUGUCAUUCUUUGAUCUGCUCUUUAUGAAGGAUUGGGUAAGCUGCCAAAGCUGGUCAUUGGGUCACAGAGAGAAGAUCAUCAUGUCUCAGAAAUGGGUUCUCUGUCUCUCCCUCUUCCUCCCUUUCUCUGUCCGUCUCUCUCUCUCUCCGCCUUUCAGUCAAUGAAGUCUGGUUUAUUAUGAUGUCCUCCCUACUACUAUUGGAAGGUAGAGAUAUUCAGAAGGUAUUGAAGGUGUGACCACAGACCAAUGCCCCGCCCCCUCAGAUUCACUACUUGAUGUUAGCACCAAUCCCAGUACAGAUUGGACUCAAUAGGUCAAUGGAAAUGAAAGAGAGGGACAGAAUGGGGACAUCAAAUUCAUUCUAUCAAAGGAUGUGGUAUCUUGUGAGGCCAUUCAUUCCCUGGCAGUGUGUGUCUUACUGGGUGUCUGGUCUAUGACUAUUGAGCUAUUGGGACGGGUCUGUCCUGAUUCAGUUGGUAAACUCAAGCACUCAAUAUUCAACCAGUUGCAAGGUAAAAAUAUUUGUCAGAA